ACAGAAAUAGUAAGCAAAUUCAGAUCAUAUGACAACAUGUUGAAGCAAUAGAACCCCUGUGCUCGGAUUCUAGCUACAGCAAGCAUGAAGGCCUUGUUCGUUGACUUCAGAGGCUAACCACAGCGAAGCAAUCACGUUCUUAGGGAGGACUUCAUGGAGGUGAAGAACAUAUAUACUACUUGUCCAGGUUCUUCUUUUUCAGAGAUUAAGAAGACCAUGGUCAACAAACUGAAGUAUCAUCUUAAUUGUUUUAAGAAAUGUUUGUGAAGUUCUCUGCUAUUUUCAGAUUCUGGUAAUUCAACAACAGCUGGCAGACCACACUAUUAAAGAAGAGUUUUCCAGGGCUGAAAGAACGGUCCAGCAAUUAAGAACACUGGGUUCAAUUCCCAGUUCCUACGUGGAGCUCACAACCAUCUGUAACUACGAUUCCAGGGCAUCUAACACCUUCUUCUGACAUAUGUGGGCACCACGGACAUGCAUGCAUGCAGACAAAGCAUUCACACACAUACAACAAAUUUAAUAAUUCUUUUUAAAAGAUUUAAAGAUUGAAUCUGGCAUGGUGGCAUACACCUUUAACCUGGCACUUGGGAAGCAGAGGCUUUGUGAGUUCAAAGCCAGCCUGCUCUACAAAGCGAGCCAGGACAGCCAGGGCUACACAGAGAAAACUUGUCUCAAAAACACACAAAAAAAAUUUAAAAGAAUAUUUGCUAAUGGAACUGGUAGUAGACCUUAUUGUUGUUAGUUUUAUGACCUGUUACUGUGUUGUAUAAGAAA